ACAUAUGUGCUCGCCUUCACACUCUUCAUCCACUCAACCCCUGUGCACUUUAUCAGAGUUAGUAAUAGUAUUGUGGUGGCGGCCAUUUGUUGUUAUUCAUUGUUAGAAGCGGGGGUAACCCUGUCUGGCAAUAGUAAUGAUAAUAAUCUUGGUUCUACUACUACUACUACUAUGAACACUUUGACUUUUAUUUAUACAAACACUUUGCUUGUUCUUGUGAAUGUGUAAUGCUCCUUGUGAGCGAAAUACAAAUAUACAACUUUCAACAACGGAUCUCUUGGCUCUCGCAUCGAUGAAGAACGCAGCGAAAUGCGAUAAGUAAUGUGAAUUGCAGAAUUCAGUGAAUCAUCGAAUCUUUGAACGCACCUUGCGCCCCUUGGUAUUCCGAGGGGCAUGCCUGUUUGAGUGUCAUGUAAUUCUCAAUCCUCUUCUUCUUAACUGAAGAAAAAGAGGCUUGGACUUGGAGGUAUACACAAGCUGGUACUGUUUGGUAUUGGCUCCUCUCAAAUACAUUAGCUGGACUGUAGUUCGCAUUGUUUGGUGUAAUAGUUCUAUCUUAUUUCACUACAGUGCUUACUUAGACGGGUCUGCUUCCAAUAGUCCGCCUAUGUGU
rnacentral:misc_RNA from 1 species